UACGUAGGGCGCAAGCGUUGUCCGGAAUUAUUGGGCGUAAAGAGCUCGUAGGCGGUCUGUUACGUCCGCUGUGAAAACCCAGGGCUUAACCCUGGGCUUGCAGUGGAUACGGGUAGACUAGAGGCAGGUAGGGGAGAAUGGAAUUCCCGGUGUAGCGGUGAAAUGCGUAGAUAUCGUGAGGAAGACCAGUGGCGAAGGCGGGUCUCUGGACAGUUCCUGACGCUGAGGCACGAAGGCCAGGGGAGCAAACGGG
rnacentral:rRNA from 1 species